rnacentral:rRNA from 1 species
ACGGGAGGCAGCAGUGGGGAAUAUUGGGCAAUGGGCGCAAGCCUGACCCAGCAACGCCGCGUGAGGGAUGAAGGUUUUCGGAUUGUAAACCUCUGUCCUUGGUGACGAACGCAAUGACGGUAGCCAAGGAGGAAGCCCCGGCUAACUACGUGCCAGCAGCCGCGGUAAUACGUAGGGGGCAAGCGUUGUCCGGAAUGACUGGGCGUAAAGGGCGUGUAGGCGGCAUUGUAAGUCCGGAGUGAAAGUCCUGCUUUCAAGGUGGGAAUUGCUUUGGAGACUGCAAAGCUUGAGUAUAGAAGAGGUAAGCGGAAUUCCCGGUGUAGCGGUGAAAUGCGUAGAGAUCGGGAGGAACACCAGUGGCGAAGGCGGCUUACUGGGCUGUAACUGACGCUGAGGCGCGAAAGCGUGGGGAGCAAACAGGAUUAGAUACCCUGGUA